rnacentral:lncRNA from 10 species
CCUUGAGGUGGCGCCGGAGGCAGGAGGGGAGUGGAGGGUGGCGUUUCCACGGCACAGCGGUCAUGGGACAAAGUUGGACGGAAAUUGCACUUGAGGAUGCUCCCUGGCCAAGGCCAAGUCGCCUGGGGAGGAAGGACAGACUUCCUGGAUGGACACUGGGACGCCGAGCCCUGGGGAGGAGGGCAAGGGUGGAGGCUGUGGUGUUGCUGGGGCCGUGGGGUCUCUCCAGGCCGUGGGCCAGGACCUCUGACAAAGCCCGAACAGAGCAUGGUGUCAGGAGCGCGUGCUGGAUGGGGAAGCAGAGGGAUGUGGAAGCCCUGGCUGGGUGAAGGCUGUGGUGUCUGCCCGCCCCACGGCCCACAGAGUCACCGAUUACGGGAACAUCCAACGUACCAUCCUGAGCUUGUGGGGCCUAAGGGCCCGUUUCCACCACCUGCUGUGUGAUCUUGGGCUACCUACAUCGCCUCUCUGAGUCUUGUUUUCCUCAUUUGCAACUGAAGAUAAUAAUAGUAUCUAAAUCAAUUAUGAGGAUGAAAUGAGUUAACUCAUGUAAAGUGCUUAGCACAGAGUAAGUACUAAAUGAAGAUUGCUACUGCAAGACUGGGCGGGUGGAUAAUUCAUGCUUUUGCUCCAAGGUGAGGUUGCCCUGUCUGCCAAUCUAUCAGAGCUAGGGAAGUGGGAGGCUUUCCCCUGUGGGAUGUAGACUGGAGGGGGCCAACAGCUCUCACUGAGCAUGGAGGCAUAGCUGCAGUGCUCUGGGUUGGCAAGGGAGGGAAGGUGAGACCUGCAGUCGCCCUUCCUCAUCCAGGUCUGCCCCUUCAAUCCUUCAUCUCCUCCUUGGCAGAUCCCUUAUAUCCUCCACAAAUGGGUCACUCUUGCCAGGGGACAAGCUCCCUGGGGACACAUCUUACCACCGUAAAGCUGUAGCAUUAUAAGAACACAAAAAGGCAGGCCAGCCUGACCAACAUGGAGAAGCCCUGCCUCUACUAAAAAUACAAAAUUAGC